rnacentral:lncRNA from 1 species
GAUAGACGUUCUUCCAAAGUGACUGAGAUUUGCUUGAAACAUAAUAAUAUGCAUUUUUUGUUUUUCAGCGUACAGAGUGUUUUCUUACACAAGUCUCAGCAAAAUUCCUGUAGUACGGAUAUGGUUCUUUCCAUUUCACAUGUGAGAAAUCUGAGCGCAGAAAAGCACUGCUGUGUUCUCAGGCCCCCUCUCACUCCUCUUGGGCUUGGUUCUGCUGCAUUAUUAACAAUCCAAGAUGUGACCAAGUUCAUUCAUUCAAAGGAUAUCUCUGAGAGACAUAUGACUUUUGGCUGGUUGUUUGGCAUACUGAAAAAAGGUGGCUUGGUCUUCAUGAAGAAGGGAAAUGAUUUGUUGGAAACUGAGCUGACAUCUAUGUGCAGCGUGUCCUUACUACGUUGCUCUGCGUCGGGCACACAGUAAGCUACGAUAAACUGUCAUUAAGCGGUAGAAUCGAUGAGUGGCCGCCACGUGUGUGCUAUUCCGAGGAGUGGAGAGGCAGUGGAUUGUGAGGUAGGAGAUUCAUGCCUCCACAAAGGUGUUGUGAUUUUAAAGAUUUCUUUCCAUUUCUACUGCUUCUGCCUUAGUUCAAAUGUUAUCAUCUCUCGCAUAAACUCCUGCAGCAGCCACCUCCCUGGUCUUCAUGCUCUUACUCUUGCUUCUUGCAUUCUAUUCUCCACAGAAAGGACAGUCAUCUUUUAAAAAUAUGGAUCAGAUCAUGUCAUCCGCUUGCUUAAAACCAUUUGAUGGUUUCCUGUAGCAUUUAAAGUAUAAUCCAACCUCGUCACCUGGCCUACAAAGAAAGGCCCUGCCUCCUGUGGCACCUGCCUGACCGUCUUAUCCUUUACUACCUACCUUACCCACUGUGCUCAUGUUACACUUACCAUCUUCUAGUCCUUGAAUGUGUCAGACUUGUUGCCACCACGGGGCCUUUGUACUAGCUAUUCUCUCUACCUGAAACACAGAUGCUCAAAAGCAUGCUCCUUCUUAUCAUGAAGACCUGAGCUUACGUUUCCAGGUGCUCUAAAGGGUGUCAUUCUGAUGAUUUUUAUCUUUUGAC